AGCUACCACAGGAAAUCCGAUAAAGAAUCAGAGACUUCGUUCCCUGGAAAGCCUCAGCUCCUGUUGCCUGAAGCAAGGUCUCUGGAGGCUGAAAAUCAGCAGGACAGGAGAUGGUACCUCCCAUUGUCCAUGGAUUAGCUGCUGAACUUCAAACAUGUAUUUCAAAAGUAAUAAGAGCAAACCUGGGGCAGCAGACCCUGCUCCCUUCUGUACUUUUCCUGCAUGGAGCCAACAGCAGCUGUGACAUUUUCCAGCUCAGAAUCCAGCACAAUCCAGCACUAUACAGAUAUACAGAUAUACAGAUAUACAGUAUGUGUUCCAUACUUGUCUCUACCAGCCUCUGA
rnacentral:lncRNA from 1 species